GGGACCAAGUAGAGAUCUGUGUGGUCACUGUUCUCUUGUCAGGAUGCGGGUGGACAAUAAAGUUCCUCUAUAAAGCUUUGGCAAAGGUUUUGACUUGGCGGCUGCAAAAAGCGCGGCCCUGGGAACGCGGAGGAAAGACUGGUAAGCGAGCG
ensembl:misc_RNA